CCCGCCCCGCCCCCUACACGGACCGGGGCAGGAUGUUCUGGCCCUCAGCCUGCGCCCGGCGAGCCGGCGCUUCUAUUCUGGAUGCCUGCUCCUAGCGUGGAGCUGCUCUACUUGACUGCUCUGUGUGCGAAAUUCCUGAAAAGGAUGCGAGUCAAAGCUAUGGUUUUUCCAGAAGUCAUGUAUGAAUGUGAGAGUUGGACCAUAAAGAAGGCUGAGUGCCGAAGACCUGAUGCUUUCAAGCUGGGUGCUGGAGAAGACUCUUGAGAGUCCCUUGGACAACAAGGAGAUUAAGCCAGUCAAUCCUAAGGGAAAUCAACCCUGAAGAGGACAUUGGACAGAAUGAUGCUGAAGCUCCAAAACUUUGGCCACCUGAUGUGAAGAGCUGACUCAGUGGAAAAGACCCUGAUAAUGGGGAAGAUUGAAGGCAUGAGGAGAAGGGGAUGGCAGAGAUGGUUGGAUGGUAUCACUGACUUAAUGGGCACGAGUUUCAGCAAGCUCUGGAAGAUAGUGAAGGACAGAGAAGCCUGACCUGCUGCAGUUCAUGGGGUCGAAAAGAGUUGGACACAACUGAGUGACUAAACAAAAUUCAUACCACAUGAUGAGACAAGCUAGUGUGGUUGAAAAAGCAGAGACUGCAGAGAGAUAGGCUUUGGUUUAUAUGUCAUCUCUGCUAUUUCCCUACUGGGUCAAAUUACUCAAUAAUGCCCCUACUGCUGCUGCUGCUGCUGCAAAGUCACUUCAGCCAUGUCCGACUCUGUGCGACCCCAUAGACGGCAGCCCACCAGGCUCCUCCGUCCCUGGGAUUCUCCAGUGACUAGAAGCACAUGCCUGGGCUUGCCUGCUGGUCUCAGAAGGAAGGUGACAAACAUGUGGAGCGGAGACUUCCCAGUUAAGGUGCGGCAACCAAGCUCAGCUUGAAGCUGAAUCCCCGUCGGCUCACAGACACAUUGAUGAGUCUAGCCCAGAUAGCAGACCUCCAACCAACC
ensembl:lncRNA